UGUUUCCUUCGGGGCGUGGUGAAAUUCCCGACCGGCGGUGAUGAAGCAAAUGCUUCUUAGUCCGUGACCCGUUUUCGCUUCUAUCGGCUGUGAUCAAUACGAUGAUUAGAGUAUAGAGGUGAUGUGUUUGCUGCAUCUUGAAAACGGUGGACCUGGUGAAAAUCCGGGACCGACAGUUAAAGUCUGGAUGGGAGAAGGAACGA
rnacentral:ncRNA from 2 species